rnacentral:rRNA from 1 species
GAUGAACGCUGGCGGCGUGCCUAAUACAUGCAAGUCGAGCGAACAGACGAGGAGCUUGCUCCUCUGACGUUAGCGGCGGACGGGUGAGUAACACGUGGAUAACCUACCUAUAAGACUGGGAUAACUUCGGGAAACCGGAGCUAAUACCGGAUAAUAUAUUGAACCGCAUGGUUCAAUAGUGAAAGACGGUUUUGCUGUCACUUAUAGAUGGAUCCGCGCCGCAUUAGCUAGUUGGUAAGGUAACGGCUUACCAAGGCGACGAUGCGUAGCCGACCUGAGAGGGUGAGCGGCCACACUGGAACUGAGACACGGUCCAGACGCCUACGGGAGGCAGCAGUAGGGAAUCUUCCGCAAUGGGCGAAAGCCUGACGGAGCAACGCCGCGUGAGUGAUGAAGGUCUUCGGAUCGUAAAACUCUGUUAUUAGGGAAGAACAAAUGUGUAAGUAACUAUGCACGUCUUGACGGUACCUAAUCAGAAAGCCACGGCUAACUACGUG